AUGAGCUCUGCCAAUCACCCACAGACUGACGGGCAAACCGAGCGGGUAAACCAGUGUCUAGAGACAUUCCUUCGGUGUUCCACUCAAGCAUGCCCGCGCCGUUGGAGCUUCUGGAUCCCUCUGGUUCAGUUCUGGUACAAUUCUUCGUAUCACUCUUCCAUUGGAAUGUCUCCAUUUCGAGCAAUGUACGGUCAUGAACCUCGGCAGUGGGGGAUCACGGCAACAAGUGCCUGCUCAGUACCAGCUCUGCGCUCUUGGUUGGAUGAGCACGCAGUGGUACAGGACCUGUUGCAGCAGCACCUGAACCGAGCUUGCCAAGUUAUGAAACAGCAAGCUGACAAGAAGCGUUCGCUCUGGGUGUUUGAAGUGGGAGAUCUCGUCUACUUGAAGCUGCAACCGUACAUUCAGAUGCCCGUCGCUCCGCGGGCAUGCCACAAACUCUCUUUCCGGUUCUUUGGACCCUACGGGAUCAUCGCUCGUGUGAAUGAUGUUGCCUACAAGCUGCAGUUGCCGGAGCAUGCCCAAGUGCAUCCGGUCUUUCAUGUAUCACAGCUCUGGAAGGCCCUAAUUCCAGAUGCUGGAGCAGCGUUGGCAACGUCGCUGGGGGUCCAUGGUGGAGCAAGUUCUCGUUCGUUGGUCCAACCCAGCAGUUGUGCCUGA
rnacentral:rRNA from 1 species